UCGGCGCGCCUGGCCCCGCCCCCCGCGGGCUUAACCCUCUAGCCGCUGGGCACGCGCGGGCUGCCGGGGCGGAGGCGUACGGGGGUGGCGAGCCGACCUCGGCUCCUCCUCGUCCCGCGCCAGCGCCGCGCCCGGCCGCAUUCUCGGGGCCCGAGGCUCAGCCGCUCGCGGCGGAGAAAGCAGGCCGCGGAGGAGGCGGGCGCCCAGGCCUGCCCGGACAGGAAGUGGGCCCAGCUUUCCCACUCCUCGCUCCGUUCCUUCCUCCGCGGGAAGGGCAGGCCCCGGGGGUGGCCGGGCAGCCGGAUGCUCCCGGGGUUGCGGGCUGUGGCCCCGGGGGCUGAGGGCGGCGCGGGUGCGGCGGAAGCAGGGAAGCCGCGAACCGGCCUUCUCGCUGGCCACAGCGCUCUGCACGGACGAUCAGUGAAUGGCGAUUACUCAAGUAUUUAUCGAGAACUUGCAGUGGGCUAGGCACGGUUCAGGUAGAUCAACAAACCGAAAGACCCUGCCCUAGGGGAGCUUUCGCUCCAAUGCGGGGAAAGGGUGGAUGAUUGCAGUUUUGCCCAGUAAUUUUUGGGACCCUCAUGCCACCAUUAAUUAGCUACACACAUCUCACCGAAAGUCUACCUUACAUAUUAAUCAGAAGAAGUGGAAGAAUAAACACAGAAGAAGCAAAAAAGGAAAGAACUUUCUCACUGAAAGUUUCUAUUUAAUAUUAAGUCUUAAAAGUACUCCUGGAAGGACAAAAGGUGUUCUUAAUAAAUUAUAUUCGCAAAUAUUGGAUUUAAUCCUACCAGUAAUGAAGCAGUCAGUUACUUUCUAGAUGUGCAGAAAUAUGUAAUGAACAAAAAAAAACUAAUUCCUAUUCCAUUUUUUAUUAGGUCCACAGUUAUUUCACUUCUAAAUAUGAUUUUUUAAAAGUGGCACGCGGUGGAAUGUAAUUGAGACAGGAUGGAGUUCCUAGAGAAAUUUUACUUCCUCAAUCUGCACUCCACCUUAUUAACAUACAGUCUUGGGUCUGUAAUUCCCUUAUUUGACUCUCAAGGAAAUGAAAAAGUAAUGCCUAGAUUGGACUAAACCUCAUUUAACUCCAAGACUGACCUUUCUCAAAGUUGAACCUUCGUCUUGUGAGGAACAGAAAGAUCAAGAUCUCUGAAGCACCUCGACUUUCCACCUGUGAAGAUGUGUUCAAAUUUGCAACGUGCGGCCACACCUAUGAGGUCACUCCCUCUGGAGGAAACCAGCUGCCACUUUGUGAGGAUACUCAUAGUCCUGUGGAGGCAUAUCCUCCAUAUGGCUGAGACCUUCUGCCAACAACCAUCACUGACUUGCCAGACAUGAGUGUGCCACCUUGGAAGCAGAUUUUCCAGCCCCAGUCAAGCCUUCAGAUGACAUCAGCCCCUGCUAAUCUCUUGACUACAACCUCAUGAGAGACCCUGAGCCAGAGCCAGGCUUACCCCUCAUGGUUACAAAGUGGCUGCAACAGCUCCAAGUGUUCUAUCCUUUAACACAGAAUAACUCAAACAACAAGACCCAAUAUUCAGACAAGAAGGAAAGGGACUUUUGGAGAGUGAAGAAAACUUUCCUAGAAACCUCAGACUUCUCCCCAUGCCUUAUUGGCCAGAUUGUAUCCCAUGCCCAUUUCUAAACCAAUCAUUGGCAAAGUGAGUGGAAUUGACUUGAUUAGAUUAACUUUACCAAGAAUGCAUCCUCAGAGAGGCUGAGAAAAAGUCCAGCCUCCUUUGAAGAGCCUGGCUACCUUUCACCUGAACAAAACAAGAAUUCUGAUGAAAAGAAAAAUGGAGAAUGUAUGUGGAGCAGGCAUCCGGAGUGUCUAUGCCAGGAUUUUUUUUUUUCAGUGCGUUUCACCGGUUAUAUUUUUGUCUCUUUACCUUACAAGAUAUGUGGCACGUUUGCCUAAAACAAGCCUUGCUUUCUGAUUUCUGUGCACUAGGCACUUAAACCUUGCAAAUGUCGCUUACCUAACAGUCACUGUCAAGGAGUACCUGGCUAAAGAAUCUCCAGCUAGACAAAGUAGAAGUGUCUGUGCUCUGGCAGUUGAAUAUAUUGUAUCAGGCUCAACAGCACCUUUCACCAAAGGAUGAGACUUCACAACCAUUAGAUCUUCUUUUAUUUUGUUUUUAUUAAAAAAAAAAAAUUUUAACACACCAUUGCUAACUUGAAGCCAUUAGAUCUUCUUACCCCCAAUACCACAAAAGUUUAGUGGAAUCAGGGGUAUAUCAAGGCAGGUGGAGUAGGGGAGCUGGGAGUAAUCAGCCCCCAGGGCAGGCAAUGAGGGAUUGUGAAUCUGUGAAGAAUUUUAAAGCAAUGAUACAGCUCUAAAUGCGAUGUACUAUCCUGGACUUAGCCCUGGAAAAGAAAAAAGAUAUUAGUGGAAAAACUGGUAAAAUUCAAAUAAUGUCUGUAGUUUGGUUAAUAGUAUUAUACCAAUGUUAAUUUCUGUGUUUUGAUAAAUGUACCAUGGUUAUGUAAGCUGGAUGAAAGAUAUGUGGGACAUCUCUCUACUAUUUCUGCAACUCUCCUGUAAACCUAAAAAUAUUUCAAAAUAAAAGAUUUAAUGCUAAAA